UAACGCGUAAGGAACUUGCCUCUUGGACUGGGACAACUGUUGGAAACGACAGCUAAUACCGGAUAUUAUGAGAUUCUCGCAUGAGAAACUUAUGAAAGCUAUAUGCGCCAAGAGAGAGCCUUGCGUUCCAUUAGCUAGUUGGUGGGGUAAUGGCCCACCAAGGCGACGAUGGAUAGCCGGCCUGAGAGGGUGAACGGCCACAAGGGGACUGAGACACGGCCCUUACUCCUACGGGAGGCAGCAGUGGGGAAUAUUGGACAAUGGGCCACAAGCCUGAUCCAGCAAUUCUGUGUGCACGAUGAAGGUCUUCGGAUUGUAAAGUGCUUUCAGUUGGGAAGAAGAAAGUGACGGUACCAACAGAAGAAGCGACGGCUAAAUACGUGCCAGCAGCCGCGGUAAUACGUAUGUCGCAAGCGUUAUCCGGAUUUAUUGGGCGUAAAGCGCGUCUAGGCGGAAAAAUAAGUCUGAUGUUAAAAUGCGGGGCUCAACUCCGUAUUGCAUUGGAAACUGUUUUUCUAGAGUACUGGAGAGGUGGGCGGAACUACAAGUGUAGAGGUGAAAUUCGUAGAUAUUUGUAGGAAUGCCGAUGGA
rnacentral:rRNA from 1 species